rnacentral:lncRNA from 1 species
AACAGUGUAUUCACUGAAGGUGGAUGUGCCAACGAAAUGAUAGAUGGGUUUUCCAUUAAUGGAGAACCUGGUCUUGCCAUCACUAAGCAUCACCCCUCGGUCAGUGUUGAUCCUUAGCAGGUCACACAUGUUGCUUUCCUUGGACUUGCAAUGACGACAGUUGCCGCAUUCCCCGGUGAAGACCGGAAGCACAUGGUCACCGGGUUUAAGGUGUGUCACACCCUCACCCACACUGUCAACAAUCCUGCAAACAAAAUAGUCAAUAGAGUGAUAAAAAUAUCUGGUUACCACACUAAAUGGAUACAGACACGCCCAUUAAUACCUAGGUUCAACAGAUCCGACCAAUCUGACAUAGAUCCCAUGCAGAUGCUGUUCAAAAUAAAAAAUAUGCCUUGCUGAAUUUAUAUGGAAAUGGAUCGGAUAAGAGUUUGACUGUUGGACUCAUUGAUGAUAGAGGUACUUAAAAUGAAAAAAGGAAAAAAAAUUUAGUGUUGAGCAUACCCCCCAGCUUCAUGACCAAAUAUACGAGGGAAUAAUGGAGUUUGGCCCUGUAAGAUGACAAUGAUGAACAAUAUUAGUUUCCAAGUAUGCGAGUAAUGAGUAUUGCUUUACAACGAGAAUGCAUCAUGAGGAGGCACUUAACUAAAAUACCUUGGCUUCCCAAAAGUAAACAUCAGUGUGGCAGAGAGAGGUGAAGAGGAUCUUCAGACGGACCUCCAUUGCUUGUGGUGGUGCCACCUCCACUUCUUCAAUCACUAGUGGCUUCCCGGCUUCCCAUGCCACCGCAGCUACAUGCAGUUGCAAUGUAUUUCAAAGAAUAAGCAUAUACAAUGACAAAUGGUUUUCCUCAAAAACGAAGCAUCAAAGUAUGAUGAUAAAACCCUAAACACUCAAGUAAAAAUCCAGAAUGAAAAUAGACCUUUGCAACGAAUGACCUGACCAGCAGUGCUUUGGGCAGACAUAUUGACUUGGCAAACUAUCCGUUUUCUCCUUUUGGAAACCUGGAAAAAUAUUCUAGUAAAUUGGGGUUUAGGAGCUUGGCAUCUCUUAAAGUAAGAAUCGAGGGGACUGAUAUUUUUACACGUCAAAGAAGCCUGUUUUGACAGGGCAUUUGUAAGAGACAUAUACAUUGAAUUCAUGAACUAGAAGCAAGAAUUCACCCAAGGAAAACGCUGUUCUUCUUUUGAUCCGCAAAGCAAACGACGCCUAAAAUUUAUUUGUUUUCCCGAACAUGGGUUCGUGAAUAUAGUAUUUUAGUAGAUUAAUUCGACGGGUUGAGGCAAGUGUGCAACUUUACAUUUAGCUAAAAGUGAUCAGACGCUUGUUUCGAAAUAUCUGCCUUCUACCAUUUUCGGCCGGACACGUGGUGGUCCUCCGUACCCCUGUCGACUGAGUCCCUGUCAUGCCUGACCAUACUCAGAACUUACAAUAUGGACUUUUUCAACCAUGCGCUCUAUAAAAUUUUAAGCAUAUCAAUUGUUUUAUCAAAUUAUAUUUUUAAGUAUAUAUAUUUGAUUUUGGUUUAAUUGAUAUUCUUAUUUGUAUAUAUAAUAUAUCAAUAUAAAAAAUUUCAACUCAUAUAUAAGAAUCAAAAUUAUCAAAAUUUACAUAUAAAAAAUACUUGUAUAUCCCGUCCCAAAAUAGGUUAGGAGUUAGACUUAUUAAACUUGAAAAAUAUAUUUUAAAUCUUUAUCAAUUGAUUAAUUGAAGAGAAAUGGAAUUGUAGUUUGAUGAUUCAUCAAGGCAAAGGAACAGAAGCGUGGUGGUACUGUCUCAUAUAGUAUACAGAGCAUGAAAAAGGGAAACAACAUUAAGAUAUGUAUGAUCGAUGGCGAUUACAAAUGAAGUUUGAUAGGUUUCAAGUAUCCAUGCGAAUAAGACAGCGGAUGCCCUCCCCAGCAAGCAUGUAAUCGAAAGCCUUGUUUAUAUCUGAGAAUGCCACUUCAUGCGUUAUAAAUUUCUCCAGCUCAAGCUCCUGCAUGUAUCACAUUACUCUUUCUGAGUUCAUAACAAAUUACAGAAAUGAAUGUUCUAAGCAGCCAUCCAAUUGCUUGCUAGGAAGGAAUGAUGUAGCUUACUUUGUUCAUGUACUUCUCCACAACUGAAGGAAGGUCGGACCGGGGCUUGUAGUUGCCAAAGAAGGUACCUUUCAGAGUCCUCUCGUUCAGAAAAUUCACGGGAUGUGUUUUAAAAGCAUCAUCUUUGUUCGGAACACCGACGAGUACGGCUACACCCCAUCCCUGCAUAAAAACAGAAAACAUAGCCCAAUGUGUCAAGCAUUAUUGUCUCUGUUCUUAGCUUCAUUCUGCUUCCUAGGCAAAAUGCAUGAAGAAAGGGAAUUACAUCGUGGACACAUUCAAAAGCAGAGAUCAUGGCAUUGAUGUUUCCCGUGCACUCAACGCUUCGAUCAACUCCUCCAUUUGUCAUUUCAGCCAGCACCUGAAAAUAAGGGAGUAAAUUUUGGGAAUGAAGUGUUGUAUUUAUUUAAAUGUACAUUACAGCCAAAAGUUAUGGUUUUCAGUCACAGACCUCUUGAACUGGCUUGUCAUAGUCUUUAGGGUUCACGAAUUCAUUGCAUCCAAAUUUCUUGGCUGUUUAAGAUACACCGAGGAAACAAAACAUUAGAGGAAGCAUUUCAAUUUUCAGGACAGUAAAUCAACAACUCCCUUUUGGGAUUCGUAGCUUACCUUCCUCAAAUCUGUUAGGAUUCAGAUCGACUCCAAUAAUCCUAGAAGCGCCUGCAAUUCUAGCCCCUUCAGCAGCCUAAUUAUAAACACCACAUCAACCAGCAGCAGGGCCAAGGGGAAAUAAAUUAUACGAAACUAUGUUGGUUUAACUCUUUACUGAUAUCAAUAUAUAUAUAUAUAUAUAUGAGAGGACUCUGAAGAAAGUGAUACAACCAUGUCGGACACUCACGUCCAAAUUUGAUUAAACAUAGUAUUGAAGAAGGGAUACUCACAGCAAGGCCUACUGCUCCCAGUCCAAAAAUGGCCACAGUUGAACCUUUGGUGGGCUUUGCAACAUUCAAGAUGGCACCAAGACCUCGAAAAUUAUUUAAAACUCCAUUAAACUAACAUAUUAAAUGGAAAAUGAAAAUUCUGAAUCAAGUAACAAAUUGGUUUUGUUUAAGACCUGUAGAGAUUCCACAGCUGAGAACAAAAAUUUUGUCAAGAGGAGCGGCGGGAUUGACUUUAGCAACACAACCAACAUGCACAACAGUGUAUUCACUGAAGGUGGAUGUGCCAACAAAAUGGUAGAUGGGUUUUCCAUUAAUGGAGAACCUAGUCUUGCCAUCACUAAGCAUCACCCCUCGAUCAGUGUUGAUCCUUAGCAGGUCACACAUGUUGCUUUCCUCGGACUUGCAGUGACGACAGUCGCCGCAUUCCCCGGUGAAGACCGGAAGCACAUGGUCCCCGGGCUUAAGGUCUGUCACACCCUCACCCAAAC